AUUGAACGCUGGCGGCAGGCUUAACACAUGCAAGUCGAGCGGGGACUUCGGUCCUAGCGGCGAACGGGUGAGGAAUGCUUGGGAAUCUGCCCAGUAGCGGGGGAUAACGUUUCGAAAGGAACGCUAAUACCGCAUACGCCCUACGGGGGAAAGGGGGGGAUCUUCGGACCUCUCACUAUUGGAUGAGCCCAAGUCGGAUUAGCUAGUUGGUGGGGUAAAGGCCUACCAAGGCGACGAUCCGUAGCUGGUCUGAGAGGAUGAUCAGCCACACUGGAUCUGAGACACGGUCCAGACGCCUACGGGAGGCAGCAGUGUGGAAUAUUGGACAAUGGGCGGAAGCCUGAUCCAGCCAUGCCGCGUGUGUGAAGAAGGCAUUUUGGUUGUAAAGCACUUUAAGCGAGGAGGAGGCUACCUGGAUUAAUACUCUAGGAUAGUGGACGUUACUCGCAGAAUAAGCACCGGCUAACUCUGUGCCAGCCGCCGCAGUAACAC
rnacentral:rRNA from 1 species